rnacentral:rRNA from 1 species
UCCGCCCGCUGGCGGCGGGCUUAACACAUGCAAGUCGAACGGAAAGGCCCUGCUUUUGUGGGGUGCUCGAGUGGCGAACGGGUGAGUAACACGUGAGUAACCUGCCCUUGACUGGGGGAUAACUUCAGGAAACUGGUGCUAAUACCGGAUAGGAGCGCCUGCUGGAGGGUGGGGGUUGGAAAGUUUCGGUGGUUGGGGAUGGACUCGCGGCUUAUCAGCUUGUGGGUGGGGUAGUGGCUUACCAAGGCUUUGACGGGUAGCCGGCCUGAGAGGGUGACCGGCCACAUUGGGACUGAGAUACGGCCCAGACUCCUACGGGAGGCAGCAGUGGGGAAUAUUGCACAAUGGGCGGAAGCCUGAUGCAGCAACGCCGCGUGCGGGAUGACGGCCUUCGGGUUGUAAACCGCUUUCGCCUGUGACGAAGCGUGAGUGACGGUAAUGGGUAAAGAAGCACCGGCUAACUACGUG